rnacentral:rRNA from 1 species
GAUGAACGCUGGCGGCGUGCCUAAUACAUGCAAGUCGAGCGAACAGAUAAUGAGCUUGCUCCUUGGACAUUAGCGGCGGACGUGUGAGUAACACGUGGGUAACCUACCUAUAAUACUGGGAUAACUUCGGGAAACCGGAGCUAAUACCGGAUAAUAUUUCGAACCGCAUGGUUCGAUAGUGAAAGAUGGUUUUGCUAUCACUUAUAGAUGGACCCGCGCCGUAUUAGCUAGUUGGUAAGGUAACGGCUUACCAAGGCGACGAUACGUAGCCGACCUGAGAGGGUGAUCGGCCACACUGGAACUGAGACACGGUCCAGACUCCUACGGGAGGCAGCAGUAGGGAAUCUUCCGCAAUGGGCGAAAGCCUGACGGAGCAACGCCGCGUGAGUGAUGAAGGCCUUCGGAUCGUAAAACGCUUUUAUUAGGGAAGAACAUACGUGUAAGUAACUGUGCACGUCUUGACGGUACCUAAUCAGAAAGCCACGGCUAACUACGUG